UACGGAGGGUGCGAGCGUUAAUCGGAAUUACUGGGCGUAAAGCGUGCGUAGGCGGCCUGCCAAGUCAGAUGUGAAAGCCCUGGGCUUAACCUGGGAACGGCAUUUGAAACUGGCAAGCUAGAGUUAGGUAGAGGGGGGCGGAAUUUCAGGUGUAGCGGUGUAAUGCGUAGAUAUCUGAAGGAACACCAGUGGCGAAGGCGGCUCCCUGGACCCAAACUGACGCUGAGGUACGAAAGCGUGGGUAGCAAACAGG
rnacentral:rRNA from 1 species